UUUUUUUUUUUUUUCUUUUGGGUAUUAAAGCAUGAAGAGGUGGGCCCAAAGGAUGAUUUACAAGCCAAUACGAUUUUGGAAUUUUCUUUGCAUGCAGAGCAUGUACGAUGAAGAGAGAAAGAUAAUGCAUGGUAAGUGAAUAUGUUUUUGUUGCUUAAAGUUGAGAGUGGGAUGAGCCUUAGCUUAGACCAAGUGUUCAAAGAGGGCUAAAUUGCUUAUUUUGGUUCAAGUUAAGGAUGGUGUGGACACCUUUGUUAACGUUAGAAUUCAGUUUUAUUUCCGCUUAGUUAGAGGAUAUUUUAGGAAGCUUUGAUAAGGUAAGAAAGGAAACUUGGUUUGGGCCUUGUCACUAUAUAUCACGUUUUGAGUGGGAGGGUAUUUCGGGCAGACAUGAGAAUGGGAUAAGGAUGUUUGGAAUUGCUUUAGGUUAAGCACCAAGUAUGUAUACGUACAUAUAUAAUAGAGCGAGGAGCCGUGAAAGGGUGGAGAGGUAACCCUAGUUUUCUCUACUUCCACCUACUGCGCUAUGAGAGAACGGAGGGCUAGGAGACCAACUGAUGGUGAGGAACGCAUCCAUAGGUGACUGGGAAUCUAAGGGCGUGACAACUCUCUAAAAACCCAGGUUAUGGGAGUAGCUUGAAUGUUAUACGUGUAACAGGUUUUGGUGAUGCUCUUGAUUUUAUCUCUAUGGUACAGUUUCAAUGGUUGAAGUGGUGUGUGAGGAUAUAACUCAUAUAUGUUUAAUGAUUGUUAAAGUUUGAGAAACCUUCUCGUAUGGCUUGUAUAGUUGUGAUUAGGGUUGUUUCAAUCUCUAAACUGGAGUGAGUUAGGGUUUAAGAGCCUUGGGAUAGUGUGUGGAAGAACCUGAAAAGGUAUAGAAGUGGUUUCGUGUAUGGGUUAAAGGGUGUAAGUCAACGCUAGAGUUGGACUAUUUCAUUCUCGCUUGAAAGAUGAGUGGUGGAUCUAAGUAGUAGUGCUUGAGUGUGCAUGAGUGUAACUAGAGUGAUGUGGGUUGCAUCGUGAUAGGGAGAGAGAAGAUGUUGUAUAGAAAGUAAUUGGAAUGAUGAUAUAGAGAAUGACAAUAUGGGUACUGGGAAUGGGUGGCUUGUGAAGAGAAAUAGAAGGGUUUUAUUGGGGAUGAAUGGGUGUAAUUGUGGGUCUCUUUGGAAGAGGAAAUUUUUAUGCAUUAUGUGAUGAAAGUGAUCUAGUUGUAGGCGUUGUAAUUUUCUCUUUGGUUCUGGAAUGAGUAGUGGUUGUUCUCGCAUGGAUGGGGUUUAUGCAAAUGUAUGGAGAGAUUGUGAGAUCUUAGUUUUGUUGUGUGGAAGGGUUGAUAAAAAGGUUUAGGUAGCAGAGGGAAUAGGAUCAGUGUGGUGAGAGUCACGGUCUCGCUUGGAAAAAGAGGAAGAAAGUUUGUGUGGUUGGCCGAGAGAUGAGGGAGGGAGUGUAGAAGGAAUGUAGUUUGUGGGAUAGAUGAGAUGAAAGUUGUAGUAGUGCGUAAGGAGUGUGGUUAAGUCUUGGAAUUGAAAAAUAAGUGGGUGCAGGAGUGAGUUUUGGUUUUUGGCAGUAAAGAAAGUUUAGGUUGGGAUAAAAGCGAGAGAAGUGUUGGGUGGUGAAUGAAGGAUUGUGGGAGAAUAAAGGAGAGGAGAAAGCAUGGGUAUUUAAGAAGAGAGAAGGUGGAAGAUGUUGGAGGGUAGCGAGGGAGGCAGUAAAGUGUGUGUUUUGUGCAGGAGAGGAAACAAAAAGACCGGAAGAGAGAGAGAGUGUGGGGGUAAGUGAAUGAGUUGGAGAAAGAAAGAUGUAUAUUCUGGGACGGACAAUGAUAUUUUGACAACAUUUUUUGACCACUUUUUUCACAACAUUUUUUGACAACUUUUUUGACAACGGAACACGUGUCAUCAUUUUAUUGGUCUAUUUGAAUUUAUGUUUAAAAAAUAUUUAAAAC
rnacentral:lncRNA from 1 species